GCUAGUAUGGUGCAGUGGUUUGAGUGUUAGACUAGGACUCCAGGGGACUAGUGUUCAAAUCCUCUGUUAGCC